UACGGAGGGUGCAAGCAUUAAUCGGAUUUAUUGGGCGUAAAGGGCGCGUAGGCGGGGAUAAUAGUCAGAUGUGAAAUCCUGGGGCUCAACCUCAGAACUGCAUUUGAAACUGUAUCUCUAGAGGGUAGGAGGAGAAAACGGAAUUCCACAAGUAGCGGUGAAAUGCGUAGAUAUGUGGAAGAACACCGGGUGGCGAAGGCGGUUUUCUACUCGUUAUUCCUGACGCUGAGGCGCGAAAGCAAGGGGAUCAAACAGG
rnacentral:rRNA from 1 species